ensembl:lncRNA
UCGUGUCUCUGUCUCUUUGCUGGCUUGUGCACUCCUUCCAGGCAGAGAUUGCAUCUUAUUCACCUUUUUCUCCUCAGAUCCCAACUCAGAGGAAUCAAUGAAAGGGGAAAGCACGACAAAGAUACAGACGAUAGCACCUUAACCACCUUAGAGGAAGGUAAUGAGGGAAAGAGAACAAAAGGGAAGAAGGAGGGGGCAAGAAGAAAGGAAGGAGAAGAGAGGAGAAGAGGAAGUGGACACAUUUUAAGAGAGAAUAUUUUAAAGCUGAUUUCAAGAGGCUCCGUGACAUUCACCUUCAGCAAUCACAGGUUAGAGGGUUCCAAUAGAAUCUCUACCAUCUGUCUUCAGAGUCUCAGUUUUGCCUCUGUAAAAUGGACAGUAACAAACUUGCCCUUCACGUUAAACUCUGCCGUGAAGAAGGACAUAGGUAUGAUCUCGGGAAUGUGGUACAUUCCUUCCCAAGAACGUCACCAGUCUUGGUGAGUUGUUUUGCGAGAUUUGGGACAGCUUAAUAGUGAGAUGGAGAAAUAGUUAAUUUUCCAGACUUGCAGGGAGGCUGUGGACAGCAGAGAUGCCUCGUAGGGCUCUUGAGGCAACUGGAGGGGGGCUAACUGGACCCUGCCUCCCAUUGGGGCUGCACGUUUGGGUCAGAGUCUCUUGGCAGGAGCAGUAGGUUUGAAUGAAAGCAGGGCUUGAGGGAAUGCACUAGAACAGCAGUGUGUACUCUUUGGUCCCUUAAAAAUUAUAGAAGACCCUGGCCAGGCAUGGUGGCUCACGCCUGUAAGCCCAGCACUUUGGGAGGCUGAAGUGGGCAGAUCACGAGGUCAAGAGAUUGAGACCAUCCCGGCCAACACGGUGAAACCCCGUCUCUACUAAAAAUACAAAAAGUAGCUGGGCAUGGUGUCAUGGUGGUGUGUGUUUAUAAUCCCAGCUACUUGGGAGGCUGAGGCAGGAGAAUUGCUUGAACCUGGGAGGCAGUGGUUGCAGUGAGCCAAGAUAGCGCCACUACACUCCAGCCUGGCGACAGAGCAAGACUCAGUCUAAAAAAAAAAAAAUUAUGAUUUGCAUUUCUAUAAUGAGCAUUUUUCAUAUGUUUAUUGGCCUUAUAUAUGUCUUCUUUUGAAACAAUGAGAACACGUGGACUCAAGGAGAAGAACAUCAUACACUGGGGGCAGUUGGGGGGGUAGGGGAGAGACAGGGGGAGGAUGGGGAGGGAUAACAUGGGGAGAAAUGCCAGAUAUAGUAUGCACCUAAAGUAAAAUUAAAAAAAAAUAAUUAAAAUAAAAAAUUAUGUUUUUUUUUUAAGAGAAUAUCUAUUGUUUUUAAACCCAUUGGUUUUAAAAAACAUAUUGGUAAUUCAAACUUAGAACAUUUUAAGACAGCAGAAUGCACAAGCACACACUUCAUUGUCCCUCCAAUCAGUGACAUCAUCAGACAUCAGGUAGAUGCUGGAGAACUCCACUGUGCACUUGAAAGAGUAUGAGAGUGGAAAAUGCAAACUACAUUUGGUGUGAUUAUGAAAACAGUUUAGAUCUCUCAGACACCUGGCCCACACUUUGAGAACCUCUGAACUACAGACAUGACAGAAUGUUACACCUGAUGGAAAUCCUGCUGUAACUCUUCAAGACCUCAGACAAGGCAGUGACCUCAUGUGAUCACAACUGCGAUUGGAUUUCUUGAGCUAUGUGUACCGGUUGAUGUGCAAACAAGUCAGAAUGAUUCCCUGAGCCAGAGGUACAAAAUCAGAGGGCUCCAGAGAGAACAGUCAGGACUAUGGGGAAAUCACAGAAAGGGCCCUGGAUCCAGGAGAGCUGUGAAUUUUGAAGAUUUGGAUCCACUUUUUCUAAAUCUGCCAGUACCAGAAAGGCCCCAUGUAUCAUCUAGGUUCAAACUUGUUGCAGUAAGUUCAAAAAUAUAACUCUCCCCAAAGGCUUUGAGCCUAUAGCAGCAUCUGCACUCCCCUUAUGAGGUCAGCCUCUGUUCUCAGCCCUGUCAGCCCCCUUCCCUUCCCCAGUGCUAGAGGAAACAUGAAGCCACUGCAAUCAGAAUCAAAUGUCAAAUUUUUAAAAACCCGAGGAACAGCUGUAAUUUGCAAGGAGACAGAAUGCAAUUAGCAUACACUUGUCAGAAUGGGAGAUGGCUCUGUGAGCCCUUUAUUGCCUGAGUUUUAUUAAGACUGGACUGAUUCUAACAAUUUCAUUUGCUGUUUGCCCCAUUAAUGGCCAAAGCAGAACAAUAAGCGGGAAGGCAGUGGAGAGCAUUUAGGAGCAGUGUGCCAUGGCUCUUGAGGGUCUUCAUGGAGGCCAGAGAGGAAUCAGGUACCUGCCUGCGAUUUUGCUUGGAGAAAGGGAAAAUGAGGGCCCCAGCAAGGAUCCUUCAGCCUCUAGUCUACCAGCACCCUUUGUAACUUCUGCUUCCUGGGUUGCAGUGCUUUGGGUCAGAAGCCAAGAAAAUCAGGG